rnacentral:tRNA from 1 species
GUGAAGGUGGCUCAGUGGUAGAGCGCUUGCCUUGCAUGCAUGAGGGAGGCCCUGGUUCGAUUCCUAAGCAGCACA